rnacentral:rRNA from 1 species
UACGGAGGGUGCGAACGUUGUUCGGAAUUACUGGGCGUAAAGCGCGUGUAGGCGGCUUGGCAAGUCAGAUGUGAAAUCCCUUGGCUCAACUGAGGAAGUGCAUUUGAAACUGCCAGGAUAGAGUACGGGAGAGGGUUGUGGAAUUCCCGGUGUAGAGGUGAAAUUCGUAGAUAUCGGGAGGAACAUCGGUGGCGAAGGCGGCAACCUGGACCGAUACUGACGCUGAGACGCGAAAGCGUGGGGAGCAAACAGGAUUAGAUACCCUGGUAGUCCACGCCGUAAACGAUGAACACUAGCUGCUGCGGGUAUCGACCCCUGCGGUGGCGUAGCUAACGCGUUAAGUGUUCCGCCUGGGGAGUACGGCCGCAAGGCUAAA